AGCUUAAAGAGCCGCGGUAUUUUGACCGUGCAAAGGUAGCAUAAUCAUUAGUUUUUUAAUUGGGAACUUGUAUGAAUGGCUAAACAAAAGAAUCUCUGUCUUUUUAUCUAAAAUUGAACUUAACUUUUAAGUGAAAAGGCUUAAAUUUUUUAAGGGGACGAUAAGACCCUAUAAAGCUUUAUAAUGAAAUGAUAUUUUUUUGAAUAAAUUUAUAAAAAAUAAAUGAAAUAAUCUUAUUCUGUUGGGGCGACAUAAAUAUAAAUAGAUAUUUUAACUGUUAUAAAAUGCUACAUAAAUAUUUGAAUUAGUAUAAAUGAUCCUCUUUUUGAGAUUAAAAGACUAAGUUACUUUAGGGAUAACAGCGUUAUUUCUUUUAAGAGUUCUUAUUGAAAAAGAAGUUUGCGACCUCGAUGUUGAAUUAAAAAAUCUUUAUAGUGCAGCCGUUAUAAAAAGAAGGUCUGUUCGACCUUUAAAUUUUUA
rnacentral:rRNA from 1 species